rnacentral:rRNA from 1 species
GACGUAGGGCGCAAGCGUUGUCCGGAUUUAUUGGGCGUAAAGAGCUCGUAGGCGGCUUGUUGCGUCGUCCGUGAAAACCCGUGGCUCAACUGCGGGCUUGCGGACGAUACGGGCAGGCUGGAGUUCGGUAGGGGAGACUGGAAUUCCUGGUGUAGCGGUGAAAUGCGCAGAUAUCAGGAGGGACACCGGUGGCGAAGGCGGGUCUCUGGGCCGAUACUGACGCUGAGGAGCGAAAGCGUGGGGAGCGAACAGG